AGAGUUCGAUUAUGGCUCAGGACGAACGCUGGCGGCGUGCUUAACACAUGCAAGUCGAACGGAGCACCCUUGAUUGAGGUUUCGGCCAAAUGAUAGGAAUGCUUAGUGGCGGACUGGUGAGUAACGCGUGAGGAACCUGCCUUUCAGAGGGGGACAACAGUUGGAAACGACUGCUAAUACCGCAUGACACAUAGAGGUCACAUGACCUUUAUGUCAAAGAUUUAUCGCUGAAAGAUGGCCUCGCGUCUGAUUAGCUAGUUGGUGAGGUAACGGCCCACCAAGGCGACGAUCAGUAGCCGGACUGAGAGGUUGACCGGCCACAUUGGGACUGAGAUACGGCCCAG
rnacentral:rRNA from 1 species